GGGGAAUUUUCCGCAAUGGGGGCAACCCUGACGGAGCAAUACCGCGUGAGGGAGGAAGGUCUGUGGAUUGUAAACCUCUUUUGAUAGGGAAGAAGUUCUGACGGUACCUAUCGAAUCAGCAUCGGCUAACUCCGUGCCAGCAGCCGCGGUAAUACGGAGGAUGCAAGCGUUAUCCGGAAUUAUUGGGCGUAAAGCGUCCGUAGGUGGUUAAUCAAGUCUAUUGUCAAAGCCUGGGGCUUAACCCUGGAGAGGCGGUGGAAACUGGUUAACUUGAGUGCGGUAGGGGCAGAGGGAAUUCCCAGUGUAGCGGUGAAAUGCGUAGAUAUUGGGAAGAACACCGGUGGCGAAAGCGCUCUGCUGGGCCUGCACUGACACUGAGGGACGAAAGCUAGGGGAGCGAAAGGGAUUAGAUACCCCUGUAGUCCUAGCUGUAAACGAUGGAUACUAGGUGUUGCACGUAUCGACCCGUGCAGUGCCGUAGCUAACGCGUUAAGUAUCCCGCCUGGGGAGUACGCUCGCAAGAGUGAAACUCAAAGGAAUUGACGGGGGCCCGCACAAGCGGUGGAGUAUGUGGUUUAAUUCGAUGCAACGCGAAGAACCUUACCAGGGCUUGACAUGUCGCGAAUCCUCUUGAAAGGGAGGAGUGCCUACGGGAGCGCGAGCACAGGUGGUGCAUGGCUGUCGUCAGCUCGUGUCGUGAGAUGUUGGGUUAAGUCCCGCAACGAGCGCAACCCACGUUUUUAGUUGCCAUCAUUAAGUUGGGCACUCUAGAGAGACUGCCGGUGACAAACCGGAGGAAGGUGUGGAUGACGUCAAGUCAGCAUGCCCCUUACGCUCUGGGCUACACACGUACUACAAUGCUUCGGACAAAGGGCAGCGAGCUAGCGAUAGCAAGCCAAUCCCAUAAACCGAGGCUCAGUUCAGAUUGCAGGCUGCAACUCGCCUGCAUGAAGGCGGAAUCGCUAGUAAUCGCAGGUCAGCAUACUGCGGUGAAUACGUUCCCGGGCCUUGUACACACCGCCCGUCACACCAUGGGAGUUGGCCACGCCCGAAGUCGUUACUCCAACCGUUCGCGGAGGAGGAUGCCGAAGGCAGGGCUGAUGACUGGGGUGAAGUCGUAACAAGGUAGCCGUACCGGAAGGUGUGGCUGGAUCACCUCCUUUAAGGGAGACCUACCCGCUCAAAUUCUGAAAGCACAGUGCAAAUAAGGAUUGAGUUAGUCAUCCCAAGGUCGUUCGAGGUAUGAGUGUCUGCGCUUUCAAACUAUUACAGGUUCGGUUAUGGGCUAUUAGCUCAGGUGGUUAGAGCGCGCCCCUGAUAAGGGUGAGGUCCCUGGUUCGAGUCCAGGAUGGCCCACCUUAGCGAUUUUAUUGCACGGGGGUUUAGCUCAGUUGGUAGAGCGCCUGCCUUGCAAGCAGGACGUCAGCGGUUCGAGUCCGCUAACCUCCACUGGAGUUGAUAGAGCAAGGGAUUAGGAACGAUUCAGCAACUUAUCUAGGUAUUGCUAGAGAGCCUGCUGGAGUUGUCCAGCCAGAACCAUGAAAACUGCAUAGCGAAAGAAGAUUUCUGUCAGGUAGUAGAGAUUUAUUUAACUUAGGUUAGGUAAGUCAUCACAGACACCAAUGAAUUUUGUGGUCAAGCUACAAAGGGCUGAUGGUGGAUACCUAGGCACACAGAG
rnacentral:misc_RNA from 1 species